AAUAUUGGACAAUGGGCGAAAGCCUGACCCAGCCAUGCCGCGUGAGUGAAGAAGGUUUUCGGAUCGUAAAGCUCUGUUGCCAGGGAAGAACGCUUGGGAGAGUAACUGCUCUCAAGGUGACGGUACCUGAGAAGAAAGCCCCGUCUACCUACGUGCCAGCAGCCGCGGUAAUACGUAGGGGGCAAGCGUUGUCCGGAAUUAUUGGGCGUAAAGCGCGCGCAGGCGGUUCAUUAAGUCUGGUGUUUAAGGCUAGGGCUCAACCCUGGUUCGCACUGGAAACUGGUGGACUUGAGUGCAGAAGAGGAAAGUGGAAUUCCACGUGUAGCGGUGAAAUGCGUAGAGAUGUGGAGGAACACCAGUGGCGAAGGCGACUUUCUGGGCUGUAACUGACGCUGAGGCGCGAAAGCGUGGGGAGCAAACAGG
rnacentral:rRNA from 1 species